AAACCAUGGUAUGGACACUUGUGCCACAUCAACUUAAAGCGCUCCCAAGCCUCAUAUAGUGAUUCUCUAUCCAAUUGUCUGAAAUUCGUAAUAUCCAUCCUAAGUUU
rfam:Gossypium raimondii chromosome 11, whole genome shotgun sequence.